UACGGAGGGGGCUAGCGUUGUUCGGAAUUACUGGGCGUAAAGCGCACGUAGGCGGCUUUGUAAGUUAGAGGUGAAAGCCCAGGGCUUAACCCUGGAAUUGCCUUUAAGACUGCAUCGCUAGAAUCGUGGAGAGGUGAGUGGAAUUCCGAGUGUAGAGGUGAAAUUCGUAGAUAUUGGGAAGAACACCGGUGGCGAAGGCGGCGACCUGGUCCUUGACUGACGCUGAGGCGCGAGAGCGUGGGGAGCAAACAGG
rnacentral:rRNA from 1 species